ensembl:snRNA U6 U6 spliceosomal RNA
GUGCUCACUUCUGCAGCACAUACACUAAAGCUAGAACCAUACAGAGAAGAUUAGCAGGACCCCUGUGCAAGGAUGACACUCAAAUUGCAGAAAGACCUCAUGCAUAA